rnacentral:rRNA from 1 species
UCCCCUAGUAACUGCGAGUGAAGCGGGAUGAGCUCAAAUUUAAAAUCUGGCGGUUUAGGCCGUCCGAGUUGUAAUCUGGAGAAGUGUUUUCCGCGCCGGACCGUGUACAAGUCUCUUGGAAUGGAGCGUCAUAGAGGGUGAGAAUCCCGUCCAUGACACGGACCGCCGGUGCUAUGUGAUACACUCUCGAAGAGUCGAGUUGUUUGGGAAUGCAGCUCAAAACGGGUGGUAAAUUCCAUCUAAAGCUAAAUAUUGGCGAGAGACCGAUAGCGAACAAGUACCGUGAGGGAAAGAUGAAAAGCACUUUGGAAAGAGAGUUAAACAGUACGUGAAAUUGUUGAAAGGGAAACGCUUGAAGUCAGUCGCGUCCUGCGGAGCUCAGCCACACUCUUUAUUUUGUGGGGCGUACUCUCUGUAGGACGGGUCAACGUCAGUUUCGACCGGUGGAGAAAGGCUUGAGGAAUGUAGCGUCGUUUCGGCGACGUGUUAUAGCCUCAGGUCAUAUGCAUCGGUGGGGAUUGAGGACCGCAGCACGCCCUCUUUUGUGGCCGGGGGUUCGCCCUACGUUCAAUGUGCUUAGGAUGUUGGCAUAAUGGCUUUAAGCGACCCGUCUUGAAACACGGACCAAGGAGUCUAACAUGCCUGCGAGUGUUCGGGUGGAAAACCCUUGCGCGUAAUGAAAGUGAAAGUUGGGAUCCUCCGCGAGGGGGUGCACCGACGCCCGGCCCUGAAGUUCUCUGACGGUGCUGCGGUAGAGCAUGUAUGUUGGGACCCGAAAGAUGGUGAACUAUGCCUGAAUAGGGUGAAGCCAGAGGAAACUCUGGUGGAGGCUCGUAGCGAUUCUGACGUGCAAAUCGAUCGUCAAAUUUGGG